GGAAGAUAACGAAUCAAACUGACUGACAACUGACUGAGUGUUUAUGCUGCUCUACUGACCUCUCUCCACACUGCUCUCGCUCUCUGAACAGACUUUUCAGCUGUAACACAGAAAGGAGACACAAACAAGCACAAACAGGAAGUAAAUACUAUAACACUUGUUCUGAUGAAGUGUUUAGGAGUGUUACUAUGCACACGGUGCAGCACCUGCUCGGUGACCAGCCUCCUCUGUUGGUUCGGAUCUACAAGACAAACAUCAGUCAGUACCUGCUGGGGAGGUUCAAGAUCCUGCAGGUCUCGUUCCCGCUCAAGCGUUUCUGCUCGCCUUCUGCUUUCUGGAGCCAAAACAUAAAAACCAACAUGAGGGAAUACCUUCUAAUGGGGCCUUUGGUGACUCUAAGUCCUCAGGACUGCAUUCACUGAUCACUUCCUUUCUCCACAGCAGACCUUUGUGUCCAAAAAUCUGCCCGAGGUUCUUCAGAUCUUGAUCCCUGCGGCAGAAAAAGAAAAAAGGCUGAUGACAUGAAACCUGUCAUAUAGUUUAUUGUUCCAUAAAGGAACAAUAAGCGGCUGCUUCCUGUUUUACUAGUUUUUGAUAGCACUGCAUGUUCACAUUCCAUGACCGUUAAACCCCCUCAUCUGGAAAUAAAUGGUCAUAAAUGAUCUGAAUUGUGCAUCUUAAGGUCCUUAAACAGUCACAUG
ensembl:lncRNA